rnacentral:rRNA from 1 species
AACGAACGCUGGCGGCAGGCCUAACACAUGCAAGUCGAACGCCCCGCAAGGGGAGUGGCAGACGGGUGAGUAACACGUGGGAACCUUCCCUAUAGUAUGGAAUAGCCCAGGGAAACUUGGAGUAAUACCGUAUACGCCCGAGAGGGAAAGAUUUAUCGCUAUAGGAUGGGCCCGCGUAGGAUUAGCUAGUUGGUGAGGUAAUGGCUCACCAAGGCGACGAUCCUUAGCUGGUCUGAGAGGACGACCAGCCACACUGGGACUGAGACACGGCCCAGACUCCUACGGGAGGCAGCAGUGGGGAAUAUUGGACAAUGGGCGCAAGCCUGAUCCAGCCAUGCCGCGUGAGUGAUGAAGGCCUUAGGGUUGUAAAGCUCUUUUGCCGGGGACGAUAAUGACGGUACCCGGAGAAUAAGUCCCGGCUAACUUCGUGCCAGCAGCCGCGGUAAUACGAAGGGGACUAGCGUUGUUCGGAAUCACUGGGCGUA